rnacentral:rRNA from 1 species
GACGAACGCUGGCGGCGUGCUUAACACAUGCAAGUCGAACGGAAAGGCCCUGCUAUUGUGGGGUGCUCGAGUGGCGAACGGGUGAGUAACACGUGAGUAACCUGCCCUUGACUUUGGGAUAACUUCAGGAAACUGGGGCUAAUACCGGAUAGGAGCUCCUGCUGCAUGGUGGGGGUUGGAAAGUUUCGGCGGUUGGGGAUGGACUCGCGGCUUAUCAGCUUGUUGGUGGGGUAGUGGCUUACCAAGGCUUUGGCGGGUAGCCGGCCUGAGAGGGUGACCGGCCACAUUGGGACUGAGAUACGGCCCAGACUCCUACGGGAGGCAGCAGUGGGGAAUAUUGCACAAUGGGCGGAAGCCUGAUGCAGCAACGCCGCGUGCGGGAUGACGGCCUUCGGGUUGUAAACCGCUUUCGCCUGUGACGAAGCGUGAGUGACGGUAAUGGGUAAAGAAGCACCGGCUAACUACGUG